UAGGGUGUUGGCCCAAGAUGCGGCCACUGAAGGGCCGAUCUGGGGAAUUUGCCACCAUGGCUUGAGGGCUUGGCCAGGUCUAGGCUAGGGCCGUGGUAGGGCUGGGCGGAUUCAACCUGACCCAGCUCCUGGACCUGUUCGGCCCGAUCAGGCUCAGCCCAUAUUGGACUAGCUCAGGGCCCGGCCCGUGUCCUUCCUAAACCUAACUUUAAACCCUAAAAAACAGUCUUUUCAGUUUGAGAGCUCGAAUCGCUCAAUUGAAACGGGAGCAUAAUGCAGAGGUUUGCAGUCUGGCGAUGGCGAGGUUUAAUUAGGGUUAGGAAAUGUACAUCUUCUGGAACUCCGUCUCUUUCCUAUCACUUUCGGUUGCCUUCUAACAAAGGUCUCUGCGCACAACCUUCCCUAUCAUGUGUUCAUGGAUCAAUUCCCUUCUUCCAUCUUCAUUACCCCUUCUCCACCAAUUCCCGAAACCUAGAACCAACAAACGAAGCGAUACAAGCAUUGGUCUCCAAAAUCAACAAAAAUGGCGUGGAUUCCAUGGAGAAAACCUUGGAGGAAGCCAAGCUCAUGCUUAAAGGUAGGGCUUUGGAUUUUCUUUUCUCAUGCAUAGAUAAUUCUAUAUUGGUUGUUAAGGUUUUCGAGUGGGUCAGUUCACAAUCCGAUAUCAAACUAGAGAAAACCCAUUUCGAUGUCACCAUUAAUAGUGCAGGGAAAUUGAAGGAUUUCGAGACUCUUCUGAGAUUGCUUAACCUGAGGUUUGAGCGCGGAAUCCUCAACACACAUCAUACGUUCAAAUUUUGCAGAGCUUGGAGUGAUGACUUCUCGAUACUUAAAGAAGUGAUGAAGGUUUUUGAUAAAAUCAGUUUCAGGUUUGGGAAAAAGAAUUGUUAUGACAUGUUGAUUGCUUCCUUGUCCAUGUCUGAGCACUUCACUGCUGCAAAAUUCGUUCUCGAAACAAUGUUAAGCGUUCAGUGUAAACCAUCAGGCUGCACUCUCCAUCCAAUUAUAGUUGCUUAUGUAAAAAAUGGGAAAAUUAAUGAGGUUUAUGAGCUCUUUGAAUUUGCUAAAACCAGGCAGAUAACUCUAGAUAUAGAGUGUUAUAAUGCUUUUAUGGAUUAUCUAUGUAAACAAAGUAAGCUCAAAGAGGCAGCUGAUUUUCUUAGUGAUAUGCUUUCUCUUUCUACAUGUAAACCAGAUGCUAGAAUGUAUAACUCAUUGAUAUCAGCAGCUUGUAGGGUUGGAAGGGAGGAUGGUGCUGUCUCCCUUCUUGAUAGGAUGAGGAAUGAGGGGCUCAAGCCCCAAUUUGGUACUUACACUUGCAUUCUUCGAAUGUUUAUGGGACAAGGAAAAUGGGAAAAAGUGUAUAGACUUUUGAACAAGGUCAGAGGGAUUGAUCCAGUGUCUGAUUAUUGGAAUUAUAUGUUUGUAAUUGAGAGGCUUAAGAAGGAUGGGAAACGAGAAGAUGCAAUUUACCUAGCAUUAGAGGCAAAGUCCAUGGGGUUAAUUCUUGAUAAGCGAGUGACUCGAGAGCUUUUAAAUGAGAAACUGUGAUGAGGUAAGAUUUGUAAGGAUGAAUACGUUUUGGCUAUUGAUUGUUGAAUAUGUAAAACCAAGAAAUUUUCUUAUUGAUAUAUUUGUGGGGGAGCCGUCUUUUGAGUAAAUUUCAGAGUUAUGGAUUACAAUCACGAGAAAAAGUCAUUUUUUUGAGGUUUUUUGUGUUCGUAAUACACGACCUCUUUCCUGUUUUCUUUAUUUGAUGGGUGAGAUGGAUUUGAACCCAUGGUUAUGAUAAAAGUCCGAGAACUUAGUUCUCAGAGUAGCAUGAAAAGAAAGAUGGACAGCAGGGGAAUAGCUGCUAUAAAUAGAAAGGGAAUUUUCUUGAACCUAAGACAAGGAUAACAUGAAGAGCAUGUAAGUUAUGCUGAACCAACAGAAUGAUAUCUUAGCUCAUAGAACAUGCCUAUAGGCACUUCAAGGAGGUAUGAACAAAACUAAGGCAUGCAGACUGUAUAGCAUUGCAAGGAAAGCUUUUGAGGCUUUUGUCUCAGUGACUGACAUCUUAGAGCAAGAUGUCCUAUAAAUGAGGAUUGUUCUAAUCCAAAUUUCUUUUGGGUUUGUGACUCCAGAGCAUUGAAUGAAGUGACUAAUCAGUUAUGCAGGUCUGUUUGUCAAUCUCAAUCUGAAGCUAAUUUUAUCUGUUGAUGAUACUGUUAUUGUCCGGUAGUACUCCUUUCUAUGAUGCAUGUUCAGAGCAUGUAUGAACUUGUUUAGCUCAUUGUUUCUUGUUUUUUUUCUAGUUUACUUAAUACGUAUCAUCAUUCGAUACUCCCUUGGGAACAUUUUCUCAACAGAAGAAAAUUUCAAUCUAAGAUGGUUGAGAGAAGGCCCUCCUUUUUAGAUUUGAAUGGUUAAUAUUUAAAUUUGCAUGCUCUAGGGAGCUACUUUUAGCCGAACCACCCUAUCCUUUUAAAUGUAUGUCUUUCUUCUUUUUUUAAAGUGGUUCAAAAAUUAUGAUUUUGCAGUAAUUUGAUCCCUCAACCUCUUGUUGAGAGGGCACACUGUCUAACCAAGAUGCUAUUGUAAGCUUGUUGUAAGAAGGAGGUUAUGACAUCUAGAUAUUUUUAUGCAUUUUGAGGGAUUCAAAAAAGUUGUCCAUGGGUUGGUGACCCCUAAACCUCCUAGAAAGAGUCCACAACGUCUAACCGAGGUGCCAUUUGAAUGGUAGAGUUAACAGAAAGUAUUUUAUACAAAUAUAAAGUAGAGUUUUUCUUUCUUUUUUUAUUUUUUGAACACGAGCUAGACUCGGGUGAAUUACUUGGACUUGUCCAAGUAACUCACCUUUGCCCAUGGGUGAGUACCCUGUCCGAGUCAAACCUUAGUUACCCAAAUUCAUAUAAUUUGCAAGGAUUAGCUCCUUUAAGCCAUUAGUUGGACUACAAGGGCUUGUCAUUGUUCUGAACCAUCCAAUUCCUUCAUUCAAGUGGAAGGUCCCCAGCUAGGUUCGUGUUAUACAAGAAUUUCUGUAAUGCUGGAAACACUUUAGGCCCCAAUUGGGUAAAUCCCAUUUUCUAGGAGGUUGCUUUCCAGUUUGGCAUGCUACUAUUGAAGGUGCAACUUCUCUUUCUUUUUAUUUUUUUAUUUUUUCUUUUUAAUUUUUUGUUUUUUGGGGUAACUGACUAUGCAACUUCAAGAAUGAAACUCCCAAAAAUACUGCCCCGAGGCCCUGUUUUUGCCUUAGGGAUAAAAGAAAAAGCCUCUGUGAUCACUAUCACCACAAACAUGGAUGGUGUUCCACUUGUUGAGACCCAUUGAAGAGUGCUUAAUUUCAUGAUUUCUCAUAAAGACAACUAAAGAUAAGGCUCGGAUAUGGUUAUCAAGACAUCUGAAUGGGACAUUAAACAGGAAGACACAUCACAUUGAUGUCUUUGAUUAACUUUUUCUGACUCUCAUUUUGUACAAUGAACAUUUUGAUAAGGCCACUAGGCAAGCAUGUAGCUUUUCACAAUAUUCAGUCCAUAGGAAGUCUUGUGUGAGACUUGCAAGUUCUUUAAUUGUUCUGUAGGCAAUGAGAAACACCGAAGAAGCACAUUGGUGAUAGAAUGCCUUGGAUAAGGGUAAGAAGGCCAAACAUAUGCUGAUUUGACAUCUCACCUUUUUAAGUGAUUUUUAACAAGAACCAGGAGUACUUCAAAGUAGGCUUUCCUAGUUACUCCCCAGAAUAGAAGACCAAGAUCCAAGGCUCAUUGAUGUUGGAGCAAUAGCUAGAAGCUUUACAAGGAGAAGGGGGUAUAUGACUUUGAUAAAUUGAACGUCUGAAUGCAAAAAGACCAUGGUGCACUACUAUUCAGCAUGAGUCAAAGGAUUGCUGCAAUGCCAUGCCUGUUUCUGUUUUUUGCUUAUUCAGAAAGGAACCGUUGAAAGAUGGUCUUCUUUCCUGAGAUUCCAUAUAUUGGAAUUCAUUAGCUGAGGCGGAAAAUUUUGUUUUCCUUUAUGAGUUACUUUAUUGAUUUGAUUCAGUUGGUAUGAGCAAACAAAUUUGAAACUUCUAAUUGAAACUCCCAGAUUUUUUGGUAA